GGGGGCGAUAGGGCUCGACGGGGGUUAUGAGGCUCAAGUGGCAUGCGGUGGCUCCAUCACCACCCAAAAAGAUGGAAAAAACACAAACGCCAACAACGAACUGGCACUCGCUGCUUAAUAAAUAGCAGCACGCUUCUCUAAAAUUGCCUGUGUUUUAGAGAAAGCGUCAAAUAGCAGGCUGCCGCUGGAUGACUCCCUUAAAUCCAGCGAAAGCUCAAGGGAUAGGGUAUCAGUAGGCCUGCCUGUGCGGCAAUCUGGUAUCCGAAAACAAAUAGACAGGAUAAGCAUGUAGAGGCUUGAGAGUAGUACUUUCGGACGCGGGUUCAAUUCCCGCCGCCUCCACCA
rnacentral:tmRNA from 1 species